rnacentral:rRNA from 1 species
AUUGAACGCUGGCGGCAGGCCUAACACAUGCAAGUCGAACGGUAGCACAGAGAGCUUGCUCUCGGGUGACGAGUGGCGGACGGGUGAGUAAUGUCUGGGAAACUGCCCGAUGGAGGGGGAUAACUACUGGAAACGGUAGCUAAUACCGCAUAACGUCGCAAGACCAAAGAGGGGGACCUUCGGGCCUCUUGCCAUCGGAUGUGCCCAGAUGGGAUUAGCUUGUAGGUGAGGUAACGGCUCACCUAGGCGACGAUCCCUAGCUGGUCUGAGAGGAUGACCAGCCACACUGGAACUGAGACACGGUCCAGACUCCUACGGGAGGCAGCAGUGGGGAAUAUUGCACAAUGGGCGCAAGCCUGAUGCAGCCAUGCCGCGUGUAUGAAGAAGGCCUUCGGGUUGUAAAGUACUUUCAGCGGGGAGGAAGGGAGUGAGGUUAAUAACCUCAUUCAUUGACGUUACCCGCAGAAGAAGCACCGGCUAACUCCGUGCCAGCAGCCGCGGUAAUACGGAGGGUGCGAGCGUUAAUCGGAAUUACUGGGCGUAAAGCGCACGCAGGCGGUCUGUCAAGUCGGAUGUGAAAUCCCCGGGCUCAACCUGGGAACUGCAUUCGAAACUGGCAGGCUGGAGUCUUGUAGAGGGGGGUAGAAUUCCAGGUGUAGCGGUGAAAUGCGUAGAGAUCUGGAGGAAUACCGGUGGCGAAGGCGGCCCCCUGGACAAAGACUGACGCUCAGGUGCGAAAGCGUGGGGAGCAAACAGGAUUAGAUACCCUGGUAGUCCACGCUGUAAACGAUGUCGACUUGGAGGUUGUUCCCUUGAGGAGUGGCUUCCGGAGCUAACGCGUUAAGUCGACCGCCUGGGGAGUACGGCCGCAAGGUUAAAACUCAAAUGAAUUGACGGGGGCCCGCACAAGCGGUGGAGCAUGUGGUUUAAUUCGAUGCAACGCGAAGAACCUUACCUACUCUUGACAUCCAGAGAACUUAGCAGAGAUGCUUUGGUGCCUUCGGGAACUCUGAGACAGGUGCUGCAUGGCUGUCGUCAGCUCGUGUUGUGAAAUGUUGGGUUAAGUCCCGCAACGAGCGCAACCCUUAUCCUUUGUUGCCAGCGGUCCGGCCGGGAACUCAAAGGAGACUGCCAGUGAUAAACUGGAGGAAGGUGGGGAUGACGUCAAGUCAUCAUGGCCCUUACGAGUAGGGCUACACACGUGCUACAAUGGCAUAUACAAAGAGAAGCGACCUCGCGAGAGCAAGCGGACCUCAUAAAGUAUGUCGUAGUCCGGAUUGGAGUCUGCAACUCGACUCCAUGAAGUCGGAAUCGCUAGUAAUCGUGGAUCAGAAUGCCACGGUGAAUACGUUCCCGGGCCU